CGCAGCCGCGGUAAUUCCAGCUCCAAUAGCGUAUAUUAAAGUUGUUGCAGUUAAAAAGCUCGUAGUUGAAUUUCGGAAUCUGUCCAUCGGUCGAGCUUCACUGUUCGUACUGGUGUGGUGGGUUCUUACCUUCUGAAUAACCAGCAUGCCAUUCACUUGGUGCGUUGGGGAAGCAGGACUAUUACCUUGAAAAAAUUAGAGUGCUCAAAGCAGGCCAGCGCCUGAAUACAUUAGCAUGGAAUAAUAAAAUAGGACGGCUUGGUUCUAUUUUGUUGGUUUCUAGGAUCACCGUAAUGAUUAAUAGGGAUAGUUGGGGGCAUUAGUAUUCAAUUGUCAGAGGUGAAAUUCUUGGAUUUAUUGAAGACUAACUUCUGCGAAAGCAUUUGCCAAGGAUGUUUUCAUUAAUCAAGAACGAAAGUUAGGGGAUCGAAGACGAUCAGAUACCGUCGUAGUCUUAACCAUAAACUAUGCCGACUAGGGAUCGGACGAUGUUAAUUUUUUAAUGACUCGUUCGGCG
rnacentral:rRNA from 1 species